rnacentral:rRNA from 1 species
UACGUAGGGGGCUAGCGUUGUCCGGAAUCAUUGGGCGUAAAGCGCGUGUAGGCGGCCCGGUAAGUCCGCUGUGAAAGUCGGGGGCUCAACCCUCGGAUGCCGGUGGAUACUGUCGGGCUUGAGUACGGAAGAGGCGAGUGGAAUUCCUGGUGUAGCGGUGAAAUGCGCAGAUAUCAGGAGGAACACCGGUGGCGAAGGCGGGUCUCUGGGCCGUAACUGACGCUGAGGAGCGAAAGCGUGGGGAGCGAACAGG